rnacentral:rRNA from 1 species
AUUGAACGCUGGCGGCAGGCCUAACACAUGCAAGUCGAGCGGAUGAAGGGAGCUUGCUCCUGGAUUCAGCGGCGGACGGGUGAGUAAUGCCUAGGAAUCUGCCUGGUAGUGGGGGAUAACGUCCGGAAACGGGCGCUAAUACCGCAUACGUCCUGAGGGAGAAAGUGGGGGAUCUUCGGACCUCACGCUAUCAGAUGAGCCUAGGUCGGAUUAGCUAGUUGGUGGGGUAAAGGCCUACCAAGGCGACGAUCCGUAACUGGUCUGAGAGGAUGAUCAGUCACACUGGAGCUGAGACACGGUCCAGACUCCGACGGGAGGCAGCAGUGGGGAAUAUUGGAAGAUGGGCGAAAGCCUGAUCCAGCCAUGCCGCGUGGGUGAAGAAGGUCUGCGGAUUGUAAAGCACUUUAAGUUGGGAGGAAGGGCAGUAAGUUAAUACCUUGCUGUUUGGACGUUACCAACAGAAUAAGCACCGGCUAACUUCGU